CAAUCCACAAAGGAUGGUAAGCUAUUUGAAGACUGCCUGAUUUUGUGCUGCUUAUUGACUUGAAAUUACAGAAUUUUUAUAUACUGUUUAUUUUGUUUUUAUUGUCAGAAGUGUAAUAUGACACUGGGAACAAAACAGUGGAAACUAACCUGACAAUGGUAACCCUGCCAUUAAAAAGAAUGACAUAGUUGAAACCACACUUGUGCAGGCAAUCAGAAUAAAGAAUGAUUGUCUUUUCUUUACAUCACCUGACUCAAAGUAUUUCAGGAUUUCACACAUUCUUUUGUAAAGCUGAUCUACUUUGGUUCUCAUCAUCUGAAGAAGAGGAGGAAGGUCUUGAUGGCACCAAAAAAUAAGCAGCCACAGGGAUGUGGUAUGUUUGUCUGAUAAAACCUCUCACCAUGGAGUCUGGAGACUGUUUUGUGAUGCAGACCCCAAUUGGGGACUUCUGCAGUCAGUGAUCUCAGGGGUGCGCAAGAUUCCAAGUGUCUUAGGGAUUUCUUGGCACUCUCUUUGAGCAUGGUAGAUGAGGUCUGUUGGCAGAAUCUGUGCUUUGUUCUGGAAAAUAUAGGAACAUAUCUUCUUAUGAGACCUUGCCCCCCUCUCCUAGAUCUUUCUGUCUCUCGAAUUACUUACUGCAUAGUUUAUCUUCCUCACAACCACUGUUCUUAAAGCACCUAUUUGAAAUGUGCAGUGCCCCUGUUGGCCUCUACAUUAUAGAUUGUCAGGUGGCACAACACACCUCUUGCAGAUAAGAGUUUUCAGCACAUUCCCUUCAGUCUCUCUCAUAAAUCCAUAGUAUCAUGUCUAAC